AUUGAACGCUGGCGGCAUGCCUUACACAUGCAAGUCGAACGGCAGCACGGGAGCAAUCCUGGUGGCGAGUGGCGAACGGGUGAGUAAUAUAUCGGAACGUGCCCAGUCGUGGGGAUAACGUAGCGAAAGCUACGCUAAUACCGCAUACGAUCUAUGGAUGAAAGCGGGGGAGUCGCAAGACCUCGCGCGAUUGGAGCGGCCGAUAUCAGAUUAGGUAGUUGGUGAGGUAAAGGCUCACCAAGCCGACGAUCUGUAGCUGGUCUGAGAGGACGACCAGCCACACUGGGACUGAGACACGGCCCAGACUCCUACGGGAGGCAGCAGUGGGGAAGUUUUGGACAAUGGACGCAAGUCUGAUCCAGCCAUUCCGCGUGCAGGAUGAAGGCCCUCGGGUUGUAAACU
rnacentral:rRNA from 1 species